rnacentral:tRNA from 1 species
GGAGAGGUGUCCGAGUCCGGCUUAAGGAGCACGCCUGGAACGCGUGUGUGGGUAACACCACCGUGGGUUCAAAUCCCACCUUCUCCG